GCACAGAACAUAUAUUCAUCUAAGAUUGAUUUGCAACGGCAUCAGUACUUGAACACACCGGGACCACAGUUAAAGAGCAAAUGCCAGAGAUACAGAAUGUUUUUCUUAGGAAAGACAAUGCCUGUUGUUAUCAUUGUGGGAACCUUUGGUUAUCCCUUCAUGGAAUUUCCUACAGAACAGGACUUAGCAUUCUCCGAUAUGACUUGAGUGAAUCACAAGAUGGAAAGUCAUGUUGUGAUGCCAAAAUAGCCCACUUAUGGGGGGAAAUCGGGCAGUAUAAUUCUGGUGGCAACAAUGUUCGAACUGCACAGGACAUGAAAGAUGCAAAAGAUUCAAUGAAAGGUGUAGUUUGAUGCCAAGCAGUUCUUGUUCAAAUAAAUUCCAAAAGUGCAGAUGAAGCAUCAGCAAUAAAAACUGUUUCGAAAGGAAUUGCAAAGAUUUCCAACAUUGAAUUGCAAAAUCAGGACAUAGUGGAUUGGAAGGCAUAUUGAAUUGGUGAUGGAGAAAUAUUACCAAAAGAAAAACUGACAAGCAUGUACCCUUUCCCACUGAAAUCCACUGAUAUUGUUACAUUCCCUGACUUUGCAACUCCAACAAUAGGAGAAGGGAAGAUCCACUAUCAACAUCAGGCAUGCCAAAAUCAAGCAACUGCAGAGCAAAUUGAUACAGCGUUUGCAGAACCAACAGAAACACCUCUUUCAUCUGCUGCUGUGUUUCCAUGCACAGAAACUGGAUGUAUCAAAAUAUUUUGCACUUUCUCUGGUUUAAAACAACAUUUACUAUGUGGAACCCACAAGUAUUCGUCAGAAAGACCUUCAUAAGACACCAUCAAACUGCAGUGGAAAAAUAGCUGAACUCCCUGCAGUCAGUUCCUUCAGCAUCUACCGGUACUUCAGCUACAGUUGAAGGGGAGUCCUCCUGUAACAUGGGCUGGGCUUUGAAGCGUGAGAGAAAGAAUUGUAGAUUCGACUAUGAAGUUCGAGAUUACUUGCAGGAAGUAUUUGAAUUAGGAGAGAAGACUGGAAAGAAAUUCAGUGCCCACGAUGUAUCAGGAAAUAUGCGUGUGGUUCGAGAUGUGAAAGGUGUCAAAAUAUUUCAAUCUGACCAGUAUUUACAGCCAAGUCAGAUCUCAUCGUUUUCUCCCGGCUGUCAGUAUUGGCUUGUACCACAAAGAAAGAAGUCAUUAAUAAUGAUGAUUUAGAAUUUGUCCUGGCCAUGAUAGUUGUUAAUGAGGCUCUAGAAUCUGUUAAUGUCCAGUUUUAAAGUUUUAAUGUUUUUAACUGUUAAUGUUGAAAUUAUUGCAAAAUAAGCACUUAUAAUAUUGCAUAACAUAAAACUGCUUACUUUUGAUAUUGAUGCAUAAUAUUCAAUAUCUGCAUUAUAGAUAGAUAGUUUUUCUUUUCCCUCGGACUAAAAUGUCUUAAUUUCAUUGGUUUAUACAUAAUUCAUGUACUUGACUGCUGGAAAUAUCUCUUUUAUUGUCUGAUGAGAAUUAUAUUCUGCAAUAUAUGGCAGACGCUUCUCAUAUUAACAUUUUAUAAAAUUUAGUACAGAAACCUAAUUCUGUAAGUUCUUAAAAUAUUUAGAGUAGUUACCUUCGGAAUUACUUUAAAUUAGAGUAGUUGUCAUUUAAUAUGAUGGCACAUUGUUUUAUCUAAAGCAGAAUAAAAUGACAACAUCAAGAUUUGCUCAAACCUCUGCGGAGGAACAGGAGAAAACAUUUAAGGUACACCACUAAACCAAGACUUGUACUUUUUAAGAAACUGCGUCUAAAGAGGGCGAUUCAAAUGUUGUGUUAAAUGAUUAAAUAUCGUCUUAGCUCAGAGGUUAAGGUAUUUGAUUUGAUCAUGAGUUCGAACUCGCCAGGGGCUUUUAUUCAUAUUGACUGUACUAAGUUUCUGAAAAGAUAAUUUUUUAUCAAAAAUUGUAACUUUUUUCAUCUAUUUAACUUGUAUAAACUUUAUUUAUUAGGCUAUCAAUCAUAAUCAAGUAAUUUACUGCUGUUUUGAGAAACUAUUUCAAGGUGUAGUGAGCCACCAUGACCAUGAUUAGUAGCAAAACAGUUAGUACAGAAAAAUAUUGGGUUGAUUAAUCGCAUCGACACCUCGACUUUACCUUGUUAUCUAUGAGAUUAAUCAAUCAAAUAUACAUGUAUCUCUGUAGUCAGUCAGU